CGUUGCUGUGGGGUCAACUUCAGCGACUUCCACCCCGAGUGUUACCCGAUUCGCAUCCCCGAUAACGACCCGAUCUAUUCCCCGCUCAAACAGAAGUGCCAGGAAUACGUGAGGUCAGGCACGGCUCCGAGGACUGGAUGCACGCUAGGGCCCAGAGAGCAGAUCAACCAGGUGACAUCCUUCAUCGACGGCUCUGUGAUCUACGGGUCGAGCAAGGAGGAGAGCGAUGAGCUGCGAGCGUUCACCGGCGGACUUCUCAGGAUGCAGCGGGGCCGGGCAGCACACAGAUAUUAGCAGAGGAUGACAACCAGAUCGACUGCAAGGCCACGGGAAGAUUUAAGAGUAGCCGUGAAUGGCCUCAAUGAAAAACGCGAGAAGUCUGAACAUGAGACACAGGAGGAGGAGGAG